rnacentral:rRNA from 3 species
UUUGGUAAUGAUGGCAGAGAGGUCACACCCGUUCCCAUACCGAACACGGAAGUUAAGCUCUCUAGCGCCGAUGGUAGUUGGGACCUUGUCCCUGUGAGAGUAGGACGUUGCCAGGC